rnacentral:rRNA from 1 species
UACGUAGGGGGCAAGCGUUGUCCGGAAUUAUUGGGCGUAAAGAGCGUGUAGGCGGUUCGAUCAGUCCGCUGUGAAAGUCCAGGGCUCAACCCUGGAAAGCCGGUGGAUACUGUCGGGCUAGAAUCCGGAAGAGGCGAGUGGAAUUCCUGGUGUAGCGGUGAAAUGCGCAGAUAUCAGGAGGAACACCGAUGGCGAAGGCAGCUCGCUGGGACGGUAUUGACGCUAAGGCGCGAAAGCGUGGGGAGCGAACAGG